rnacentral:lncRNA from 1 species
AAUAGCGCGUCGCGCUCGGCGGCGGUUCUUCCGGAGCUGGCGGGCGCGCGAGGCUUCGGGUCUUCUCCGCCCUCCCCGAGGUAAUGCGCCCGGGUCCGAGGUGGCACUGGCCGAAGGGAAGAGCAGUGCGAUCCUGCCCAGCGCCCUCUCUGUCCCGCCCGAAGGGUGAAUCCUGGGUCCGAUAUCACUCCGCGUUUUGUUUUCUCUUUGCGUGUGACGCCCAUCCGCGCUCCUCAAAGGCAGAUCCCCGGACCGGCAGUAUAGGCUUCACCUGGGAGCCUGUUAGAAAAGCGGGGUCCAGUCACUUUGGCGGAGCUGGGUUGGUAGCCCUGGGUGCUGGCUUGGUGUACACGUGGCUCAGUGCACAGUCCUCAGGGAAGGUCAGUGGCCGUUCCCAAACCGUGUUUCCGGGAUAAGGGCCAGCUGCCCCUCUGUGAGCGGCACUUGGUGAAAGUUUACUUUUCAGAGAGUGGGAUGCGGCACAGUAGCACCUGUUACCUGCCUCUCCCAGAGGGUGAUGGGAAUUGGCCCAGGCUGUUCUUUCCGCCAAGUCUUCAAAAUUCUUCAAAUUCCAACCUAGGAUGCUUCAGCUGCUCCAUGUUUCAUAGACUAGGAAGUGGAGGAAUGCCCACUGCAUGAAAACCAGCAUGUGUUGGUGGACGAGCAUGUCACACACUGGGCCGGUUUCUCUACACGCAUGGUCCCUAAUAUCACAGAAAUAAAUCAGGACAUGCAGCUCAGGGAGAUGGACUCCUUUGCCCCAAGUCACACAUUUAGAGAGAAAUGAAAACUGAGCUCCUUCUGCCCUUCCAGAAGCCAUCCUGGGCCUGCCAGCCAGCUUUCAGUUGCUCCAGAGACGUGAAUCCUCCCCCAUGGGAGCCUUUGGCUGAAGGUUCAGCUUGCCUGGCCCCCGGCUGGACGGCAGCUUCGUGGGAAAACCCUGGGUCAGCGGCAAAGGAACUGAGUGAGCUCCUGAGCCGAAGAAACAGAUGGAAAAUUUCGGGGAGUUCCCAUGGUGGCUCAGUGGGAACAAACCCGAUUCGUAUCCGAUUCGUAUCCAUGAGGAUGCAGGUUCAACCCCUGGCCUUGCUCAGUGGGUUAAGGAUCCGGCUUUGCCGUGAGCUGCAGGGUGGGUCACAGAUGCCGCUUCGAUCCUGCAUUGCUGUGGCUGUGGCAGAGGCUGGCAGCUACAGCUCUGAUUCGACCCCUAGCCUGGGAACUUCCAUGUGCCACACAUGUGGCCCUAAAAAGAAAAAAAAAGAAAUUUGUGGGUUAAAAUUUGGAGCAAUUAGUUACACAAGGAGUAACCCCAGUACUGACACUGUGCAUGACAAAAGGGCCAUUGAGGGGCCUCACACGGGGUAGACACAAGAUGGAAAAUCCAAAUGUGUUUAUCCCACCUUGGGAGAGCAUCCACGGACAGUCUUCCUUCUUAACCCCUGCACCGCUGAUUGAAAAGACCAUCCCUCCCUGCCCCCACCCCAGGAAAGCCCUUUCCACCCCAGUGAGGAAUCUCUGGAUCGCCUCAACACGGAGGGCGGGGGUGGGGGGGAGGGAUCCUAUUCAAGCGCAGGCAGACCCCCAGACUUGGAUCAACACAGAUCUCACCUUCGGGAGCAAGUCUGCAGCACCCAGGGUCGGAGGAGGAAGGAGCGUCCCACAGGGUAGGGUGAACUGUCAAAGACUUAAGAUGCACACGGACAGGGGUCAGACACAAUGACAACAGAACUCUGAGCCAGGGGGCCAGCCCGCUGUCUCCAGGAGCCGGUUCAGGAAACCAGUCUGCCAGGCAGACCUGUAGGAAGUCAGGUGGCUGUUGACUGGGACAGAGGAAAGGGACAGCAUAGGUGAUUAAAUAGUCGAUCCCGCCAGGGGAUUGUAAGCAGAGAAAAAAGUCUGGGAGACCCCUGUGAGUUAAUGAGCACACCAGAAAGCAGGCAGGCCUAACAACAAACCAAGCAAGCUCACUGAGCAACAAAACCACCCCACAGCAGCAUGAAAUAGGCUCUAAAAUAGUAGUGAAAGGAGACCCACGUCCUGCCCGGUGAGGUUAGUAAGUUAAGAGUUCCCAGGACAGGCUUCUCUGCACAGACCAAAAACGCAAGUAUAGGGGAGGUGACAUUAUGCUGAAACCAAUGCUCUCCUCUACUUUAAUAUGUUACUGGCUUUUUGCUCAUUUCCCCUGCUCCGUGACCGUCCCAGGUGGACCAUGUAGGGCCAAGAAAACUCCGCUGCUCGUGGAGGAGGAGCUGAUGACGCAGUUUAACGUCUAGUCAAGAACAAGGGAGAAAAUGGUCUCUUCUCCCCGCUUUUCCUUUGAUGAUAAAACCGUAGCCCACUAGGUUCUGGGCAUGGCCCUCCUUUGCUCUUCAGCUUGUAUUUCUCCGUUGCAUCCCAUGCUAACGAACGCCUGCCUUACCUGUCCCUCUGCCUCUCGCUGAGUCCUUUCUGAGCCGAGACAGGGGAACAUACACUCGACUGAGUCCCAAAUCGCAUUCUGCCCGGUUCGAUUUCUACCAGCAAUUCAGGAAGUCAACCAACUCCUCUAACGGUUAGCCUCAAGGGACCGGGACUUUGUCACCAGAUCAGGUCUGUUUGCCGCCAGGCAAGUGUUUACUCACGAGGCAGCCAAGCGUGGAGAAGGGGGACAAGCCCCUGAAGGCAAGGGGGCUGAGGCAUUUAAGGGAGAAGCAGGGUGGUCUUAGCCGCGGGGAAAGGUGACUGGAGCUGGGGGAGGGGGUGGAAGUUGGUGUUUGGCACAGGAGCAUCUGGGAUGCAGGUUUCUGCAGGUUCACAGAGGAGGCGCUUUGCAUGACGGGAGGGGGCAGUUUCCAGCCCUCUGACAUCCAAAGUCCACUCAUGGGACAAACCCAGCGUUAGGGUCAGUGGUCCCAACGAGCCUUAGGUGGCAACUGUACGAGACUCGACUCCAAGGUCCUGUAAAAAACUGGGCGAGGCGAAGAUGGGAAUGCGAGCAAUUAAAGAGAAAAAACAAAACAACCCAAACUAGAGGGAGUUUGGUCCUUGAAGGCAAUUUACAAGCUGGGAGGUUUUCACAAGCUGUUCCCUUAAUUUGUUAGUCUGCAAGACAAGUGCACGAAUGCCUGUUAACAGCUUCUGUCGACUCUAGAGGGCGCAGUUUCAAUUUGGUUAAUAACUGGCAGAAUCCCUAAUUUUCUUGUCCCUACUUUUAAUUUAGGACCAUCAAGAAAAAAAAGGCUGCCGUUAUUCCAGUUCCACAAGGAUCAAGCCACUGGCCACCACAGUUGCCCACCCAUGGUGCCCCUGAAGGAAACUGAGGCUGGAGAAAAACAGAAAGCAUCGUGUGUGUCAGACGGACUGGCCCCUAGAUAGUUAAGCUACAUCCCUAAGGAAAAAAUGUCAAUGACCCCAGGUUCUUGCAUCUCCCCAUAUAUACAAAAGCACUGAAAUCAGUAUGUCGAGAGGUCUGGUUUUUGCGAUGAGCAGUCAUCUUUUUAUGCUUGAGCCCAGGUUUUUCCUAGCAAAAAACAAAACAAAACAAAACAAAAAAAUCCAAACCAAAAAACAGUUCCUAUAUAUUCUGGCUCCUCCCUAACCUCUCCAGAGCAGUUUCUUAGAGCAAUGGAAGCCUUCCCUCUGUUCCACUAUAAAGCUUGCCCACUCCUCUGCCUGCCUUUGAGUCUCGGCCAAAACGUGGCAGUGACGGACCCCCUCACGACAGCCAGUUAUGACUAAGCUAACUUUGCUUGUUCUCAUGUGGGUUUCCAUAAUUGUUGUCAACAAAACCUCAGAUCCACCAUAACAUGGAGUGAGUGCGUGUGUGUAGCCUGGGAUAAGAACAGGGAGUAUGUCUGUUUCUUGACUCCCGUGCUGUGUUCAGAGUCUUCCCAUGGAUGUAUUGAUGGACGGCUCAUACCCAAAUCCCACUUCCUCCUCCUCUUGGCUGCUCAGCUGGACCAUAUUUCCCAAGCCUGCCUUGCAGUGAGAUGUGGCUGCAGAGUGGGAAGAAGUGAUGCACACGGCUCCAGGGCCCGGCUCCUGGACACCUUCCUUGCAAUUCUCAGCUCUCUCUCUUGUCUCACCUGCUGGACAGACAGCGAGGGUCCGGUGGAGGACUGAGGACCCCUGUAAUGGUGGAGCCACUGGAUAGAGGAGGCUGGAACGCUAAGUGACAGUGUGGCUCAGAGUCCUGCCACCCUGCCUUGGAUCACCUCGUUGUGAGUGGAGAACACUCGUGCAUGGGUUAAGCUCUGAAGAUUCAUGCUCUGACCUGCUGGGAAGCUGGUGUAGUGGCUUUGUUACUGAGCUCAGGUUCAGCUGCUCAUUGUUCAAAAGUCAGUAUGUGGGAGGCAAAUGUUGGCAGCAAGGAAAGCUGCCUUAAUCAGAAAGCCAGCACUCUGGGGACAAGGUGGACUCAGGUCCCCAAAGACUAACUGCGAAGAUUCUGCUCAGCUAUGACAGUUUUUAAAGAGAAAAAGGAGAAGAAAUCGCAGUCAGUCGUUGAGGCAGAAGGCUGGGUUCUGCGUCCUCUUCCGUGGCGUGCAGGCUGGCUGACUCCCCGUCAUCUCUCUUCCUGUGUCAUCCUGCCUGUGGGGUCUGCCCGCGGGAUCACUAAGGGGGCUGCAGGGGAUAGAGGGCUCGCCAUGCUUUAUCACUUCUUCUUUUAAUCCAGAGAAGGAUCAACAGGUUAGGCAGGGCAUUGUGUCUAUUCAGUAGAGCCUAAGUUGAGAGUUAGGCUAAAUGCCACCUAGUGAUCUCGUUUUUGUAACUCAGGGGAACAGAAAUUGGCAAGUAAGACAGGGACGAAAGAGCGACUUACAGCCGCACUUGUCAGACAUCACCCCAUUUCUACGGGAUUAGGGCGAAGGUCUGUCUUCCUCCGUAAC